GCUGGUUUGUCAGAAUUAUGUUGAAGAAUACAGAUCAGAUUCAGCGCUGAUAGAAGUAGACUGUGCUCUAUUGAAGGUGAUGGAUAUUUGCCUACCUUUAGGUAGGGUUGAAUUUGUCCACAAAUGAAGGAAAAUGGGAGAGGAAAUCAAGGGCCUGGAGCUACAGAAAGAUGACAGGAGACAUGCUCAAGAUGAUUGUGUGACUGAGAAGUCAGACACAGCUAGAUGGCAACUGUAAUAUAUAGAUAUAAAGAGUGAAUCAACUUACUGAGGCCUGAAGAGCCUUUCGAAAAACAAGCAAUAUUUCAGCUCUUUGAGACCAAUGUGGAGAGAAACCUCACAGAAAAUCUAUGAAGAUAACAUCAUGGUGCAGCUCUUUUUGGUUGAAGAUUUAAAAACACAUUUUGAAAAACCUUUUAAUGUUGAACAUUUUUGUCAUACUUAUGGAUGUUACCCAGAGUGGCUUUUAUCAGAUGUACAUUUGGCUUGAAACACGAAGCCAAGCAAGCAAUAGUAUGGAGCGAGAUACGAGUCAGAUCCCCAGAACUGGACAUUUGACAACCUGUGCAGCCUCUAUGGGAAUGUUGCAAAGUUCUCCUCACAUGAAAGCAUGCUGUAGCCUACACAUCAGAAAAUACUGGGCUCAGAAGAGUUAUGAAGGGCUGAAAGCUGUAUCCACUUGCAGCAGCAAUAUCUCCAAACCCUCCAAGAGAACAUAUGUCUCUACUGUCUCUCCAGAGUACCAUCAAGAAAUGACUUUAUGAGAUGAGAUAUCCUGGGCUAUUAUAUUCAUAAUCUGAUAUUGCAACAUUACAUCUCAAAGUUACAUGUGGUUGUGCAGCUCAGUCACUAUGCAUGCCUAUAAUAUUUUUCUUUUCUUUCCUAUAAAAUGCUCAUUACAAAAGAGAAAAAAGAUUAGGACGAAUUUGAUUUGUGGCCCAGCAUGUUGGGAGUGGAUGUCUCAGGAGAUCAGUGUUGGAAAAUGGGAUGAAGUAGCAGUGCAAAGACUUAAUGAUCCUGAGUCUUUUCUUGCAUUAAUGUAAAAUAGGAGAAAUGCCAUAGAUGCCAUUUAGUUAAACUGGUAUAAAACUAGAAUUAGAGAGAAGAAUCAAGUUGAACGUAUCCAGGAUUCACUGAGUUGUGUUUUGGUAACCUAUGUGACAGGGAUGGGGCUCCAGUCCAGCUUCUAAGUGACAGUUUCCAUGCCCAAAAUAUAUCAUUUAAAUUUGCACCAUUGACAUUUCUCAACUAAUAGGCCAAAGACUGAUUAGAUAGAGACCAAACUCUGCUUCUCUCCUGCUAAAACUAAUUUCUUUAUACUGGGGUCCCUUCAGGACAAUUUACACUCUCAAUGUCCGGAUCUGGGGAAAACAGAAGUCUUUGACCCCAUUUGCUAUCCAACACCUUUCACCAUUGGUCUUUACUCAUGCAAGGAGUCCCAUUUAAGUCAAUAAGACUCUUUGUAUCAGGGCUACUUGUAU